AAGUAAGUAAGGGCGUAUGGUGGAUGCCUAGGCACUUGGAGCCGAAGAAGGACGUAGCAAACAACGAAAUGCUACGGGGAGCGGUAAGCACGCGAUAAAACCCGUAGAUAUCCGAAUGGGGAAACCCAAUUACCAUGAGGUAAUUAUCCUAUAGUGAAUACAUAGCUAUAGAGAAGGAAGACCCAGGGAAGUGAAACAUCUCAGUACCUGGAGGAGAAGAAAGUAAAAACGAUUCCCAAAGUAGCGGCGAGCGAACUGGGAAGAGCCCAAACCGAUGUGCAUGCAUAUCGGGGUUGUAGGGCCUUUCACGAAUGAGAACAAAAGUAUGUGUUAGAAGAAAUAGGUGGGAAACUAUACCAUAGAGGGUGAGAGUCCCGUAAGCGAAAACACAGACACUCAGAAAGGAUCCCUGAGUAGGCCGGGACACGAGAAAUCCCGGUUGAAUCAGCGAGGACCAUCUCGCAAGGCUAAAUACUCCCAAGUGACCGAUAGUGAACUAGUACCGUGAGGGAAAGGUGAAAAGAACCUCGGAAGAGGAGUGAAAAGAUCCUGAAACCAUAUGCUUACAACAAGUUAGAGCCCAUUAACGGGUGAUAGCGUGCUUUUUGUAGAAAGAGCCGGCGAGUUAUGAUAUAGUGCAAGGUUAAGUUGAAGAGACGGAGCCGAAGCGAAAGCGAGUCUUAAUAGGGCGAUUAAGUAGUAUGUCAUAGACCCGAAACCGAGUGAUCUAGCCAUGGCCAGGUUGAAGUUGAGGUAAUACUUAAUGGAGGACCGAACCGACUAACGUUGAAAAGUUAGCGGAUGAGCUGUGGCUAGAGGUGAAAUUCUAAUCGAACUCGGUGAUAGCUGGUUCUCCCCGAAAUAGCUUUAGGGCUAGCGUAGAACAAAGUCUACUGGAGGUAGAGCACUGAUUAUGUGAUGGGACCAUCUCGGUUUACUGAACAUAGUCAAACUCCGAAUGCCAGAUAGAUAUAUUCUGCAGUCAGACAGUGGGUGAUAAGGUCCAUUGUCGAAAGGGAAACAGCCCAGACCGUCAGCUAAGGUCCCAAAGUGUGUGUUAAGUGGUAAAGGAUGUAGAGAUGCAUAAACAACUAGGAGGUUGGCUUAGAAGCAGCCACCCUUUAAAGAGUGCGUAAUAGCUCACUAGUCGAGUGACUCCGCGCCGAAAAUGUAACGGGGCUCAAACACACCACCGAAGCUACGGAUUUUUAUAGAGAUAUAAGAGUGGUAGGGGAGCGUUCUAAUUGAGGAGAAGGUAUAUCGUGAGGAGUACUGGAUUGGUUAGAAGUGAGAAUGCCGGCGUGAGUAGCGCAAGUUAAGUAAGAAACUUAACCGUCGAAAGUCCAAGGUUUCCUCCGGAAGGCUUGACCGCGGAGGGUUAGUCGGGACCUAAGGUGAGGCUGAAAAGCGUAGCCGAUGGAUAACAGGUUGAUAUUCCUGUACUAUAGUAGAGUCGUUAUACGAUGGAGUGACGGAGAAGGUUAGAGACGCUAACAGAAGAGAUGUUAGUCCAAGCAACAAGUUUGAUGCGUAGGCAAAUCCGCGGAUCAUAAAGGAUGAGUUGUUACGGGGAGCUCGCGAGAGUGUAGGUCAUUGAUAUCAUGCUUCCAAGAAAAGCUUCUAAGGAGAAGCUACUAUACCCGUACCGAGAACCAACACAGGUGGACGAGGAGAGUAUCCUAAGACGAACGGAAGAACUCUCGUUAAGGAACUCGGCAAAAUGACUCCGUAACUUAGGGAUAAGGAGUGCCUACCCAGGAGACUGGGAGGCCGCAGUGAAUAGGCCCAAGCGACUGUUUACCAAAAACACAGCUCUCUGCAAAGUCGCAAGACGAAGUAUAGGGGGUGACGCCUGCCCGGUGCUGGAAGGUUAAGAGGAGAUGUCAACGUAAGUGAAGCAUUGAAUUGAAGCCCCAGUAAACGGCGGCCGUAACUAUAACGGUCCUAAGGUAGCGAAAUUCCUUGUCGGGUAAGUUCCGACCCGCACGAAAGGCGUAACGAUUUGGGCACUGUCUCAACGAGAGAUCCGGUGAAAUCUUAGUACCUGUGAAGAUGCAGGUUACCCGCGACAGGACGAAAAGACCCCAUGGAGCUUUACUGUAGCUUGAUAUUGAUAUUUGGUGUAUGAUGUACAGGAUAGGUAGGAGACUAAGAAGCUUGCACGCUAGUGUUGGUGGAGUCAAUGUUGGGAUACUACCCUUUAUGCAAUGAAUAUCUAACUUAUUACCAUUAUCUGGUAAGAGGACAGUGUCUGGUGGGCAGUUUGACUGGGGCGGUCGCCUCCUAAAGAGUAACGGAGGCGCCCAAAGGUUCCCUCAGAAUGGUUGGAAAUCAUUCGAAGAGUGUAAAGGCAGAAGGGAGCUUGACUGCGAGACAGACAAGUCGAGCAGGGACGAAAGUCGGGCUUAGUGAUCUGGCGAUACCGGAUGGAAGGGUCGUCACUCAACGGAUAAAAGCUACCCUGGGGAUAACAGGCUUAUCUCCCCCAAGAGUUCACAUCGACGGGGAGGUUUGGCACCUCGAUGUCGGCUCAUCACAUCCUGGAGCUGUAUUUGGUUCCAAGGGUUGGGCUGUUCGCCCAUUAAAGUGGUACGCGAGCUGGGUUCAGAACGUCGUGAGACAGUUCGGUCUCUAUCCGUCGUGGGCGUAGGAAAUUUGCGAGGAGCUGUCCUUAGUACGAGAGGACCGGGAUGGACAUACCACUGGUGUACCAGUUGUUCUGCUCUAGGGCACGGCUGGAUAGCUACGUAUGGAAGGGAUAAACGCUGAAAGCAUCUAAGCGUGAAGCCCCCCUCAAGAUGAGAUUUCCCAUAGUGAAUAACUAUAAGACCCCAUGAAGACUACAUGGUUGAUAGGUCAGGGGUGUAAGUGUAGAAAUACAUUGAGCUAACUGAUACUAAUUGGUCGAGGACUUA
rnacentral:rRNA from 1 species